rnacentral:rRNA from 1 species
UUCAGCAAGCGGACUUCUGGUAUAGCUGUGAAGAUGUCAGCUAGAAGUCUAUCAGGUAGUCCAUUUGCGACUGCGGGUUAGGUGGCGCGUCGCAAGGGCGCGGGCCUGCGGCGGUCGGGCACGUGGCAGCGCGGGCGGAGGCAGGAGCCGACGAGCCGCGAAGCCGCCCGUGCCGAACCUGGCGCGGGCAGCGUGCGGCUGGUGGCAGGUGGCGCUGCCGGCUGCCGCGUCGUCCGUCGUGCCUCCCGGGCUGCGGCUAGGCGGGCGGGAUCGAAAAGGAUCGAGAAGAUUCGUACCGUUCAGCAAGACGAUGGAGGAAGUAGAGACCUGCUAGAAGAUGUUGUAAACGAUUUGUGAAAUGUCGGUCAGACGGUUAGAGAAGGUCAUACAAAGAGUCUAGCUUAACUCCUAGUUCACGUCCAUCGCGGUCUCGUCCUGUAGUCGUCACUUGAAGGCCCGUUUCCACAGACCAACUCCGGCUUAAAGCACAAAACUGGGAAAACCGUAUGUUUAAGCCCUAAACUGGGGACAAACUAAAAAAAAGGCCCUAAAAUGGGAAAAAGAAUGGCGGUCUCCGAGACCGCCAACCCAAUGUAUCGGAUGGCGGUCCCCGGGACCGCCAUCCGAUGAAUAGGUACAGUCGGAGUGGUUUGCCGACGGCAAAGUACGGCAGCUGGGAUGGCGAUCCUGUGGGUCGCCAUCCCACACGUUGGGAUGACGGUUACAGGCACCGCCAUUCACGGCUUGCCAGCAUUCGGGCGUCCCCGGCCGAGCACCCCGGGUAGGUGCUUGGGUCGGGGGUAGAAGAAGAGGGGACGGCAGCGGGCGUUCUUGUCUCUCCCCUUCCGGAGAGAGUAGGGGAGGUGAGGGGGGUAGGCUAGAAGAAGCAAACACUUGCCAAAAACGCCUAGCUCUACCGAAGCUUUGCUCUUUUCUCCGGGGGGUAACCAGGCCGCUAACGUGAUUAAUGUAAUACGAACUGGGCCGUAAGCUGUUGCCAGUAGCGCGGGCAAUGUAGCUCUCGCCUCACCAUUUAUCGUGACUAGUUGCACAACGUAGUGUUAAAACGGAAAAGUUUUCAAAAAAGAUUGAUAAAAGCACACGUGUAACUGUUUACGAAGGCGGGAAUGCAUACUCCCCGGUGUGGUUCCAGUUUCUCUACUUGAUGCUGUUGGCGAUGUUCGGUAUAAUGUCCUCUCGGCCCGAGAACCCAAAGCACGAGGUCAAGUUCGCAUACGGCGGCUACGAACAGGUGUGCCGAGAGUGUAGCAACCACCUGGCAACCGCCGGGCUCUGUGUGAGAAAGGUAGAGGGUACACCACUCUACUGCCACUGCGAGCUCCUGAAACGGUACUAGUGCCGGGAUGGCUAGUUCCCGGUACGAGAGUAACCCACGCACCUAUUCUUCUUGACCGGCCUGUCCCAAUGGCGGGAGUAGCCGCUGACGGGAGGGUAGUUCUCAUUGGCUUGUAGGCCACAUCGUGACCGUACCGAGGAUCUGGUGGCCCGACUUACGGGCGUUCUACGCCUAGGCUCCUGGCACCUCGUCAUACGUUCCUGGAUGGAUACCAAAGAAAAGUGUCUCCACCAGAAAGGACUGACGAGCCCCCUGUUGCGGGAUACCUACAUGAACCUGAAGGACCGGCUGACCCUACGUCCCAUGUCGACCCCCAGACGACCGGAGCACAUGGAGAUGGCAAGUGACCUACUGCGUUGUGUCUCCUGGCUCUUUUGUAGACCCUACACACCCACACAGACCCGGGAGAGCUAAACCUCAACCCUCGCCGACGGCCAACCAGCGGGACUCUUCGACGGUGUCUGUCUCACCUGCCUCAUACCGCUCCUACCGCUGGCAAGAGCUAUGGGAUGACAGCGGAUAAGAACCCUGUUCCAAUUCCAGAAGAGCCCGUUCCUUUCACGCUACAUGUUCCGGAAGUGGUUACUCGACCUGUUGGACUGUAGAAAAGUCCAAUUGACCACCGACAUGGUGCUAUCUCGAACCCCCAAGCUCGACUUGCUCUACACGCUCGCCCUGGCGGAAGAGAAGACCACGUAACAGGGCGACUAUACGCACAUGCGGCAGCUUACCGUGGAUGGUGUUGCGCACCGCUGUGUUAAACCGCAUAACGUUGUGUGUGGUGGUCGUUCCGGGGUGCUGUGGCCGCCAAUGCUGGAAGUGUUCUUCUCGUUAGUCAUAAGAGUCAGCUAUAACCUGACCCGACUGCUCGUGUUCAGAAAACACUGUUACACCCUGCUCUCCUGCAAGGCGUUUCUACCCCUCUCCAGUCCGUAAACGACCUUACACAUACUCUCCGUGUACUUAACCAUACUGCUACCGUAGUUCAAAGCAGACGUAGACUCCGGUGCUACCUGCCUUCACCUGUACCGUAGUGAAGUCCUCCUCCUCCUGAGACUCCUACUUCUUUGGAGUCUCUAUACGUUCCACUAAAGUCCCUCAUACGCGGGGAAUACUUGUCUCACCGGCGUCUCGAUUUGUACUUGUAAAAGCUGCCGAGCUUACGCGAAUCAAGACUGGGACCUUGGUACCUCCCACUGUUGUUCGACUCCCUUCGCUGCUUCUUCUAGUAAUUGGCAACGGCGUUCGAUCGCCCGUACGAACCCACGCGGCGGAACCAACUGCACGUACAAGGAGGAGGACCACCCAGCUGUGCACGGGAUCGAAGUAGUUCGGUGUGGCCUCCUCCAAGGAGCUCGGUACGGCGGAGCAGCAGAGCGGAACAAUUGCUCUGGCUCCUUCUUCUCCUUCACCUGCUCCUCCUUCUCCUUCUUCUCCCUCUUCUCCUUCCUCCACUGCUGCUUCUUCCACUACUCCUCCUCAUGCUGCUGCUACUACCUGGAGUUGACUGAGUCGGUUGGGUCGGCCUGCUCCCGGCGAGCUUCUGUUUGUUCCUCCUCGUACGGCGGUUCUCCCCCUCCCCCUCCUUGAUCACUACAACUUGAACGAUUCAAUUUCAUCAACAGAAUACAACUUGAUGAACCACAGGACAAUAACGAUGGAUACAAUCAUCAACUUGGAUAAAACUAUACAACUUGAAUUACCUAUGUAGUUAAAAUGAUAGACAUUCACACUCCAAUAGUAUUAAAGUAUACGUUUGUGAAAAACGACGACACGAAUAG